GCGGAUGUAGCUCAGUUGGUAGAGCAUCAGCUUCCCAAGCUGAGGGUCGCGGGUCCGAUUCCCGUCAUCCGCU
rnacentral:tRNA from 1 species